GAAAGGAUAUUGUUGACCACUAACAAAGCUUUUUCCUUUCGUGGCUCAAGAGAAAGCAUGAUUGCAAAGCAAGCCAAAACAACCACAUGGCCAAAACAAAAACAACAAUAUAAUUUUACUAAACACGAACUAAACUAAUGAUGGAAAGGAAUUAUGAGUGUAAAAUUCACCGACACUUUUGGUCGGCUUUUUUUUGUCUUAACUCGGAAACCCUUCAUUAAGUCAAUGUUGAAUUAAAAUAAACAUAAAAUAUUGAUAGGUGAGGGAGAGUGCAAGGUUGU
rnacentral:lncRNA from 1 species